CAACUGGAGAGUUUGAUCCUGGCUCAGAACGAACGUUAGCGGCGCGCCUAACACAUGCAAGUCGUGCGAGAAAGGGCUUCGGCCCCGGUACAGCGGCGCACGGGUGAGUAACACGUAGGUCAUCUGCCCUUCAGUGGUGGAUACCCCUCCGAAAGGAGGGCUAAUACAGCAUGAGACCACAGCCCUUCCUGGGGCAGCGGUCAAAGCGGGCCUCUCCAUGGAAGCUCGCGCUGAAGGACGAGCCUGCGGCCCAUCAGCUAGUUGGCGAGGUAACGGCUCACCAAGGCAACGACGGGUAGCUGGUCUGAGAGGAUGAACAGCCACACUGGAACUGAGACACGGUCCAGACUCCUACGGGAGGCAGCAGUGGGGAAUCUUGCGCAAUGGGCGAAAGCCUGACGCAGCGACGCCGCGUGA
rnacentral:rRNA from 1 species